UAUAUAUAUAUAUUAAGUGUACCAUACUUAUGGAGUAUAGGUAAUACAUUGGUAGUGCCAUCCAUUUCAGAGCUUUGGCAUAAUUAUAGAAUACAGUCGCCAGUUCCUUCAUCCGCCAUCUUCUUGAUUAACCCUUACGUGGCAGCGAUCCCUUAUUGAGGCACAAGUGUGAUUUUCACUUGUGGUGAAGAGCAUCAAUAAAGGGAAGGUUUUUCAUGCAUCUCAGUUCAAAGUUCAGCAUCCUGUUUUCACUCAAUAGGUUCUGGAGACACCUGGCAACUAUAUCUUGCUCGCUGACAACUCCUUGCUCCUGUACAUACAGGUGUGAGUUGUGAUUUCACAAGUGAUGGAGGAGGUUUCUGGCAGAUCCAGUGAUUCACCAGGUGGAGUGGGUGGACUGAGUGGAGCUGCUCCACCUUUGCGUCCACAAAACACUGAUGAAUUUAUUUGUGAUUCUUCUUCUGAUUGUGAUUAUAUACCCACUGAUGGGGAUGAUGAGGAAGAUAAUGACUUUGACAGUGACAGCAGUAGUAGUUGGGAAAGUAACAGUGACUGCAAUUCUGACUUCCAAAUUGCAUUCUCAUCACACAUGACAUUGUCACAAAAAAAAAAAGAUGCUUGUCCUCAUCCCCACAAGAUGAAAAUGCAAGUGAUUGUGUCAAAAGACAAUGCACACAUGUGGCUGACACCAGUGCUUCAAUCUUUGAAAGUGGUUUUCAGUGGUAACCAGUAAAUAAUUUUGUGCCGGACUAGUUUGAUUUUGAUCACACUGUUGGUGAAGGAAUCACUAAACUCUAUGAAUUGUCAGAUAAUCCUGAGGAGUGUGAUUUCUUGCAGUAUUUUGAUGAUAACUUGCUUGACGUCAUUGUGACAGAAACAAAUAGAUAUUUCCAGCAGAAAAAUGUUGGAUGCCAGUCAAGUUCACACUCAAAGCACUGGUGUGACAUGAUAACAGUGAAUUACUGUCUUUCUUGGCCAUUACUAUGUUGAUGCCACUUGCAAAGAAACAUGUGUUAUCUGACUACUGGGCAAGGGAUGAUUCCUUAUUUUUACCAUUAUCUGCUGUAUACUUCACAAGAGAUAGGUAUAAAAGUAUUCUCAGAUUCCUUCAUUUUACAAAAAAGAAAGAUAAAAAUUAUCCACUUUGGAAAAUCAGGUUACUGCUGACAAACCUAAAAGAAAAAUUCAGGAAACUUCAAACCUUACAAGAAACUGAUGGUUGAUAAAUCAUUGAUGUUGUUCAAAGGAAGGGUAAAAUUCAAACAGUACAUCCCAUCCAAACAUCAUCCCUUUGGUAUAAAACUCUUCAUUAUAUGUGAUUGUGACAAUGGAAUAGUUUUGGAUUUUUUAUCUAUUUGGCUAGUGAAAUGGACAUAACCCAAGAAAUACCCUUUAGGCUUUUCUGGUGCAGUUAUAAAACAACUGAUGAGAAGCUACUUGGGCAAAGAACAUGUGGUCUACACAGGUAACUAACUAUUACACAAGCCCACAACUAGCCAAAUACCUGGCUGAUCAUGGAACUGGCUUAGUAGGAACACUCCGGAAGAACUGAAAACAUCUGCCCAAAUUUCAAGAAAGAAAUGAGAGGUACUCUUCUGAAACAAGAGUCAAAUGGCAUACUUGUGUUUCAGUGGACAAACAAAAGAUAGAUUCUGCCUCUUACAACCAUCCACAGAGGAGAAUUGGAAGAAACCAAAAAGAAAGAUAGAACAGGAGAAAAUAUUGUUAUGCUUGAUGCUGUGAAUGAUUAUAGUAUAAAUAUGAGAUAGAUAAGAGCAACAUGCAUAUCAUGAGUGUUGACUGCCUGAGAAAGUACCGAAAGUGGAGCAGGAAGCUCUUUUUCCAUGUCCUGGACAUUUGCUUGUUGAAUGCCUACAACAUGUAUGUUGAGGGGACAGGAGAGAAAUCAUUCCUUCACAGUUUCAAGAAGGAAAUAGCUUUACAGGUAUUUCAGAGAUGUAGAAAACACAUCAGCAUUCACGUGCAUCCUGGCAAGCAUAGCCAAGAAGCAAGAGAUAAUCUAAAGCUGUGGCUUCAGUUCAUUGAGGCAUUUGAACUACACUCUCCUGUCAAUGUGCCUCCAACACCUGGAAGAUCUGGGAAGGGACAGUGAGAAUGUGUGGUUUGGAAAACUAGAUAAUUGAGGCAUAAGAGACAAAGGAAAGUCACAGCCAUGUGUGGAACAUGUAAUGCCUCUGCAUAGGUACAUAUUUCAAAGCCUACCACACCCUAGCAUCAUUUUAGUAUCAGCAUAGCCAUCUUUGAUUACAAGGACCAACCCAUGCAGAUAAAGUUGUGGUGUCUUCACACCUUUUCACCUAAUCUGCACCUUCCUCCCCCUCUGUGGUCAAACAUGUAUGCAAGGACACAGCUGUCCAGCCUACCAUCAAUAAGACGUGGGAACUGAGG